rnacentral:rRNA from 1 species
UGGGGAAUCUUGCACAAUGGGGGAAACCCUGAUGCAGCGACGCCGCGUGAACGAUGAAGCCCUUCGGGGUGUAAAGUUCUUUCGGCAGGGGCGAUGAUGACAGUACCUGCAGAAGCAGCUGCGGCUAACUACGUGCCAGCAGCCGCGGUAAUACGUAGGCAGCGAGCGUUGUUCGGAGUUACUGGGCGUAAAGGGUGUGUAGGCGGUUCUCUAAGUUUGGUGUGAAAUCUCCCGGCUCAACCGGGAGGGUGCGCCGAAAACUGGAGGGCUAGAGUGCGGGAAGGGAGAGUAGAAUUCCUGGUGUAGCGGUGAAAUGCGUAGAUAUCAGGAGGAAUACCGGUGGUGCAGACGGCUCUCUGGACCGCAACUGACGCUGAGACACGAAAGCGUGGGUAGCAAAC